UACGAGGGGGGCAAGCGUUGUUCGGAAUCACUGGGCGUAAAGGGUGCGUAGGCGGUCGGGUAAGUCUGAUGUGAAAUCUCACAGCUUAACUGUGAAACUGCAUUGGAUACUAUCCGGCUAGAGGAAUGGAGGGGAGACUGGAAUACUUGGUGUAGCAGUGAAAUGCGUAGAUAUCAAGUGGAACACCAGUGGCGAAGGCGAGUCUCUGGACAUUUCCUGACGCUGAGGCACGAAAGCCAGGGGAGCAAACGGG
rnacentral:rRNA from 1 species